UGGGAUAUAGCCAAGCGGUAAGGCAACGGACUUUGACUCCGUCAUUCGCUGGUUCGAAUCCAGCUAUCCCAGCCA
rnacentral:tRNA from 1 species